CGCUGGCGGCGUGCUUAACACAUGCAAGUCGAACGGUGAACCAGAGCUUGCUCUGGGGAUCAGUGGCGAACGGGUGAGUAACACGUGGGCAACCUGCCCCAGACUCUGGGAUAACCCCGGGAAACCGGAGCUAAUAUCGGAUAUGACCACUUCGGACAUCCGAUGGUGGUGGAAAGUUUUUCGGUCUGGGAUGGGCCCGCGGCCUAUCAGCUAGUUGGUGGGGUAAUGGCCUACCAAGGCGACGACGGGUAGCCGGCCUGAGAGGGCGACCGGCCACACUGGAACUGAGACACGGUCCAGACUCCUACGGGAGGCAGCAGUGGGGAAUAUUGCACAAUGGGCGAAAGCCUGAUGCAGCGACGCCGCGUGAGGGACGACGGCCUUCGGGUUGUAAACCUCUUUCAGCAGGGACGAAGCGAAAGUGACUGUACCUGCAAAAGAAGCACCGGCUAACUACGUG
rnacentral:rRNA from 1 species